ensembl:lncRNA
CAAAUGGACAACCUUUUUUUAAUAAAGUGGUUUAUUUAGAAUAAUCAAGGCAGCGAUACAGCACCAAUCAGAUGGAAACAUUCAGACAUCACUUUAGUUCUGCACAGAGAGUGGUUUUCUUUCACGUGUGACCAGCUUAUUCUUCUGUUGUUAUAUGCAGCAAUUACCGAAGCACCAUUUGAGCUGAUUACGUUGGCAUCUUGAGCUGAACAGUUGACUAAAGCUGGUCGAGUUCGAAAAUAACAGAGAAAAUCUUUAAAUAUUUACAUGGAAGCAAAAUCCCUUUCUUUUAUCAUGUGUGUACUGCACCAGGGAUUAUUGUCACUCAUAUAGUAUGUUAAUGAAUAACUGUUCUGAACUGGUAGAUAUUUACUGCAUAAGUCGUCAAAGAAGUCUAAAUGAAAUCAGUCUUUUCAAAACGAGUCACUUGCCUUCAGUAGGUUAAGUUUUCUUUUUCACAGGUGGAGCAUCUCAAAUAGGCCUCUUAAAUAAAUUGUUUUGUCUUUCUUUAUUUUGCUUUCCAAGUCACAGUCAGCAUCUGUUAGCUUGUACAUACCUGCAGCUGUUCUAAAUUUACUAAUCCACAUACUCAUGUGGCAUUAUUUUUUAAUUAGAGUUAUUAGCGCAUAAUAUAAAACAUCUGGAUUGACUCCACUGAGUCACCGCUACACCUGGAUUUUUUUUCCUCUUGUCCAUAAAACAUUCCAGAUUACAGAAGAGGAAUUUAGAGCUGAGAAUGAAGCCCACAUGGUCUUGAUUUUUUCCGCAGACCAGUCUUAAGGAUAGAGAGCAUGGCAGUGGAUGAAAAUAGGACCGAAUCGUAGAGAGGGAAGAGGGGGCUGCAAAAAUCGGGGUUGCUUAGACAAUUUUGAUAAUCAGCUUCGGUUUGCACCUUGCACUACCUUCACCAAAACCCUCUCCUCCUUCCUUUUGCCGACAUCAAACAGAGGGACAAAAGUGCUUUUAUUCUUUGGAUGCAUGCAGAGAGUGUAAGAAACUCGUCUCCCUGUGGACAUGUGACUGACGAGAGGCUGCGAGACAGGGCAUUGCGUAGAGGAGGUAGCAGCUGUAGGUGUAGUUUUAAAAAAAGGUCAGAUCUGAUCCCGGUUUAGCUGCGAGCAGAUCAAACAGGACUGGACUGAUGUCUGAGGUUGUGCUAUGCUCGUAGCUGAGGCUGAGUUCAAGUUGAC